ACGCCCGCCCACCCAUCUUGUCGUGGAUAUUGUAACCGCAAUGUGCCUUCACAUUACGACUGCGAGUGUAGAUCAAGCUGCUACCGAUACCACAACUGUUGCCAUGACUACCGUGACAUUUGCACUUAAAGAGACACUACAGAAUGGAUUGGUGUUGUGAUUCGUAGUUGUAGUGAUUGUAUUCCAAAUAAAAUAUAACCAUGCAUACAUAAAACUUGGUAUUUGUGAUUCUUAUGCUGUGAGGUUUUGCUUAGAUAUCUUUAUCAGUGAAAGUUAUUUGGAAUUCGAAUUUGCUUCGGCAUAAAACACGGAUCAAAAUAAUUCGGCAUAAUAUCUUUAGUUCUUG